ACAGGACCCUUUUAUUAUCAAGAACCAUUUUGGCUAAUAAUGAACUGGCCUCCUGAUCAAGCCAUUCACUCAGAACCUUUUCAGGAUGACAAUGGACAUGCCAAACCUAGUGCCGACCACUCUGUGUGUCUACAUGCUCAGCAUAUCUUUAACCCUCUGGGGUCUGGGGGUGUUUUGGGGGCCUGGUAAGAGGCAGGUGCAGACGAUGUGCGAGUGAGAAACAUCUACAUCUGUGUGUGUGUGUAAAGCACUCGAACCUUCUGCUCACCCCCUGCAGCGCCGAUGAUAACAGCGACAGCAGAAACAUGACGUCCGUUCCAGUCAGCUGGGAAUGAGAGUUCAUCCUUAAGAAAGGAGGGGUCAAGACGUCAAUGUGGCCAUUGCACUGCUUAAUAACGUGCUGUAUGUGUGCGUUUGCCCUUGAGCGCACAGCCAUAUAUGCAUGCAUGUGCGCAUUUACAUGCAGCGUCCUCAUAUAGAGAGUCUCUGGAAACACACUUCAAACAUUAAACCUAGUCAAGUGCACAAGCGCCUGCGGACGUGAAGAGCUCUUGCUAACAUAAGAGUAAUCCAAGCUUACGUUCAGUGCUAAACCACACCGGUCGACUCUUUGCAUCCCAAUCACACGUUCAUCAGUUCACACACGUCCGUUCUGCCCUUAACUCUGAGCCAAGGGAUGUUUGUCUCCUUGAGCUGAGCUUAAACUCUAUAUGAAAAGAACGCAGGUAACCGGAAUGAGUCCGAACCCACGUUACGAACAUCUUUCAUCAACACUUCACUCUGAAAGCUUUUAGAAUCAAAACGUCUUUUUUCUAUAAAGAUUGCAUGUUUAUAUCGAGAUGUACUAUAAUGCUGUGCUGUAUUUCCAUUAAUCAGUCAGUGUUUGAAAACUUAAAGAAUGUAGACAUUUCUGAAGGUCUCAAGAUGUUUUGUGAGAAGUCUCGUUGCUGUCUAGCAGACAUAUUAAAAA